GGUGUUUUUAUAUAAUUUUUUACGAACGCUGUACGUGCUAAUAGACGACUGCUUGAAGCGGUGGGUGUGUCCCAAAUCGCGUACUUACCGUCUGUAUAGUAGCCGAGAUACAUGUAUUUUUCCCCACUACAGGCCUAUAUUAGGAAAGUAUGUGAUUUGGGACGCAGCCAAACUCUCUUGUUGGCCGUAAAACUGCCGUGUGUGAUCGUGUCCUGUCGCAAAAUGCGGUGAAAACUCCCACACGACGUUCAUAAUGUGAUAAAGGUGUUUACAUGUCGCUAAUACACGUCCAUAAUGCGACUAAAACAGGAGUACUCCACCUGUCUUAAUUCUAUUAGUGCUUACUUCGAUUAUGACCUUAAUUAGAUUAAGACAGGAGCUCACCGAGGCGCUACUGGAGCCGCUGUCGUCCUCGUUGUUGGCUGGAGGCGCUGCGCCUUUCCGCGAGCGCGGGGAGGACGCUGGAGCUUUGCGCCGAGAUUUGGGUGGCUUCGAGGAAUCCUCGUACUCCUCGGCCAAGGAGAAAAGAUCGCUGAACCUGGUGAGGGGAACGAGAUGACGAGCGCAUACAACUCAGAAGGUCUGGAGUUUAAAUAGAAGGAUCUCACGUGCUUACUCUCUUAAUAAGUACGUGUAAAUAAGAUCGGUGUGUAUGGUGGACAUGGUGGUGUGCUGUUCGCAUGUGGUUUUUGUUUUCUUUCUACGCAGACUCAAUACAUGAAGGUAUGUUUUAUACUGUGGAGAGACUUGCCUCAUUUUAUGGGCUUCAUCACAGCUGGCCUGGACGUGCUGAAGAGCCUGAAGGAUGGGGG